rnacentral:rRNA from 1 species
AACGAACGCUGGCGGCAUGCCUAACACAUGCAAGUCGAACGAAGUCUUCGGACUUAGUGGCGCACGGGUGCGUAACGCGUGGGAAUCUGCCCUUGGGUACGGAAUAACUCAGAGAAAUUUGCGCUAAUACCGUAUAAUGUCUUCGGACCAAAGAUUUAUCGCCCAAGGAUGAGCCCGCGUAAGAUUAGCUAGUUGGUGAG